GAUGAACGCUAGCUACAGGCUUAACACAUGCAAGUCGAGGGACCGGCGCACGGGUGAGUAACACGUAUCCAACCUGCCCUUUACUCGGGGCUAGCCUUUCGAAAGAAAGAUUAAUACCCGAUAUAAAGGCUGGGGAUGCGUUCCAUUAGGUUGUUGGUGAGGUAACGGUUCACCAAGACUUCGAUGGAUAGGGGUUCUGAGAGGAGGGUCCCCCACAUUGUAACUGAGACACUUUCCAAACUCCUACGGGAGGCAGCAGUGAGGAAUAUUGGUCAAUGGGCGCUAUCCUGAACCAACCAAGUAUCGGGAAGGAUGAAGGCUUAUGGGUCGUAAACUUCUGUUAUAUAGGAAUAUGUAUUAUAUGAAUAAAGAUCGGCUAACUCCGUGCCAGCAGCCGCGGUAAUAC
rnacentral:rRNA from 1 species